AGGAAUUACAUCUAUCAGUUACUGGAUAGAAUACCGAAGAGAGAAUAUUCGUCAUUGGUUAAGAUGAGCAUAUCAAGGAUAGACUCCGAGGGGAGAAAUAGGAAUUAUAUCUAUCAGUUACUGGAUAGAUAACCAAAAAAAGAAUAUCUGUCACCAAUUAAGAUGAACAUAUCAAGGAUAGACUCCGUAAAGGGGAAACAGGAUUUACAACUACCGG
rnacentral:lncRNA from 1 species